UAUGCUCCAGAGUGGAUGCUGCAAUAGCAAUACAAAUCUCUCUGGAUUACAUUGAAUUUCCAAAGAUGAGAGAUACCGGUGGCACAUAGUGCCAAAGCUAGUUUAAUUGGUGGAGUGGAUUUGUGAUGUCCACGUAGUGUUCUUGGGGGCACGAGAAAAGAUACAAAAGAGGAACUAAACAAAAGUGCGAUGAAGGCAAAGUGGUCCUCUCUUUUU
rnacentral:lncRNA from 1 species